CCCAAAGACCAGGUCCCCAGCUUAGCUCAGUGGGAGCCCAUCAAUUGCCAGGGCAAUCCAACUUUAACAAAUUCCUUCAAAACCCUGGUUUCAGGAAAUCAUUCCAAUCUAAUCCAGAUAAGUAUACUGAGCACUCACGAUUCACGUCAACGAAUUACACACAGCAAUGGUGAUCCAGAGAUAGACCCCACCCCCACUGGCCAUCAGCAAAAAAAUAACCCAGAUGAGGAGCCC